UUGUUUUUUUUUCUUUUUCUUUGCCAGCGCAUUUGCAAUCGUUCAUAUGAAAAAUGUGUCGAUAAUUAUUACAGACGCAACAUUACGUAUCACAUCAAGCCUGGACCGACACCUGAUAUAGUGCGCUUCACUGUGGUCGAUGAUAAUGAUUUCGUGCAAGAGGGCCAUUAUAUUUACUCUGACUACAAGAGCUGCGCUGUCGUGGAGUUUCCCUUCGUGGGCAGGCAAGAGUGCAUAUUGUGGACUACGAAGGACGUUUUGGACGAUGUGCCGGAACACUGUAUGGACCAGUACAAGGACAUCUGUGGCGAUGCGGUGAACGUCUACGACGAAGAAAGCUGUGCUGCAUUCGCCCCGUAAUAACGUCAUUUCAUGUGGCAUCGUCAUCAAUUUUACAAGUUUUCAAUGAAGUUCACGAAAGAAGACAAAACAGAAUAACGAAGGAAUACUUCUGGACUGCCUCUAAAAUGGGGCAAAACUGGACAUCACAAAUGCUACAGCCAUAAUAAUAAUUCUUACUAUAAUCAAUCUUUGGCGCUCAGCGAAUGCUUCUGUGAGUUUGAGUUUCAUGCAGACAUCAAUACAAUAGCUACCGCAAACUUCUACAGAGAUAAGCAAAACUUGCAACA